rnacentral:rRNA from 1 species
UACGGGGGGAGCAAGCGUUGUUCGGAAUCACUGGGCGUAAAGGGCGCGUAGGCGGUGAGGUAAGUGGGAUGUGAAAUCCUCCGGCUCACCCGGAGACAUGCAUCCUAUACUGCUUCGCUAGAGUGCAGCAGGGGAAACGGGAAUUCCAGGUGUAGCGGUGAAAUGCGUAGAUAUCUGGAGGAACACCGGUGGCGAAGGCGCGUUUCUGGGCUGCCACUGACGCUGAUGCGCGAAAGCUGGGGGAG